ACUUCGUCUCUGGUGCCGUCAGUCAACGAACGUGUGUGCUAGAUAAUUGUUUGGAUUUAAUUGAUUAGUAUAUCCCUGGGUGCAAUCCCUAGGGUGGCGUUGUCGGUUAGCUUGCUUUUUCCCGUAAUGCCACACAAGCACACAGAGGACACAAUGUCUGAAGUUGACCCUUUUUGCUGUCCAGCCUGUCAACCUGAUAUGUUGGCAGUAUGCUGUGAUGGCAACCGGAAACAUUAUCGUUUCAAAAAGUCAAGGGGAACUGAGGAACCCUCUUUAUAUGAGGGCUUGUUCAUAGCCAAAGACGAUGAAGUUCUGGCCUUUCAGGAGAAUAUCAGAGGAAGCAGCGGGGCAAGAGCAAAUGACAAUGGGACAUGUGGGGUGUCAAGGUUCAGGGCAAGUAAGGAGGCCUCAAAGAAAUCUUCCUCAAAAAUUGAUGAAGAGGGCAUACAGGUGGCAGUCUGCAGACAUGGGAUAUUAUUGCGAGGACUGAACCACUACCGUGGCGAAAUAUUUGCCUACCCCAUGUUUUUGCA